CAAUGGGCGCAAGCCUGAACGAGCAACGCCGCGUGCAGGAUGACGGCUUUCGGGUUGUAAACUGCUUUUUGGGGGGACGAUAAUGACGGUACCCCCGGAAUAAGCCCCGGCUCACUCUGUGCCAGCAGCCGCGGUAAUACAGAGGGGGCAAGCGUUGUCCGGACUUACUGGGUGUAAAGCGCAUGCAGGUGGCUGUGCAAGUAUGCUGUGAAAGCCCCGUGCUUAACACGGGGAGGCCAGUAUAGACUGCACGGCUCGAGGACUGCAGAGGGUAGGGGAAUUGCUGGUGUAGUGGUGAAAUGCGUAGAGAUCAGCAGGAACACCAAGGCCGAAGGGACCUACCUGGGCAGUAUCUGACACUCAAGUGCGACAGCGUGGGGAGCGAACCGGAUUAGAUACCCGGGUAGUCCACGCCGUAAACGAUGGAUGCUCGGCGUUUGGGGGGGAAACCUCCUGGGCGCCUCAGCUGACGCGGAAGCAUCCCACCUGGGAACUACGAG
rnacentral:rRNA from 1 species